rnacentral:rRNA from 1 species
CAGCCCUGUGAAGGUGAGCAAAUCCCAAAAAUAACGUCCCAGUUCGGAUUGUAGUCUGCAACCCGACUACAUGAAGCUGGAAUCGCUAGUAAUCGCGGAUCAGAAUGCCGCGGUGAAUACGUUCCCGGGUCUUGUACACACCGCCCGUCACACCAUGGGAGUCGGAAAUGCCCGAAGUCUGUGACCGAACCGAAAGGAAGGAGCAGCCGAAGGCAGGUCGGAUGACUGGGGUGAAGUCGUAACAAGGUAUC